UGUGCAGACUGACACAGCUUCAGUGUUGUUCGAAGCCAUUGGAUAUAUCAGAUUCCUUCAUGGUCAAAUUGAGGCUCUCUGUUUUCCUUAUUUCGGAAAUUCAUCAAAACACUUGAGGAAUCAUCACUUUGUGAAUCAUGGAGAGAGAAAUUCCGUAUUCCCAGAGGACCCUGGACAGCUCUUGAAUAAUGAUGCUUCACUCAAAAGAAAUGGAGCUUCAAUCGCAAACCAGGUAUUCUU